ACAAUCGUCUGACUGUUCAUCACGAUGAAGGUCCUUUUGCUUCUAACUGUGGCGGCGGUGGCCCUGGGAGACGACCUGGUGGACGAGGACCGGGGCGACAGCGAGUACCACUUCGCCUGGCUCCACGACGGGCGGCCGGACCUACGACUGGCAGGGCGCCAACAG